UUAUUAUUUUUUUAAACAAGUUAUUUUUUUCAUUUCACUUCACCAAUUUGGACUAUUUUGUGUAUGUCCAUUACAUGAAAUCCAAAUUAAAAUCCAUUUAAAUUACAGGUUGUAAUGCAACAAAAUAGGAAAAAUGCCAAGGGGGAUGAAUACUUUUGCAAGGCACUGUAACCGCUGAUGAUAUAAAUGAAUGAGGAAACAAGUAGAAGAUAAGUAUUCAGCUCUCUCCCUCACACACACCAACAAGGCACUCUGACAACCCACAAGAUGGAGAAAUUCCUACUAGUACUUGUGAUGAUUACAACAUGCUGUGCUGUAACUCAAGGAUCAGGAUUCGUUCAGCGGGCGUUUCAACUAGCAUUAGUCAUUUGUUGGCCUGCUAACAGACGUCCACUUUUGGGACUACGUGCUGUCUCCCUGUGAGACCCAGAGGUGCACCAACCAGAUGAACUUGACCACCGGCGACAUGCUCAACGGGAAGGCCUUGGACAUCCAGACUACAGGCAGAACAGGCAAUCAGACUGUAACCAUUAUCACUCAAACAAAUAAUAAUGAGUGUCUAUUAUGCUAUCUGGUAACUUUCCAUAAUUGUGUAAAUUGAAAAGGCCAUAUCACGAUAUGUCUUUCAGCUGACAGUAUACCGUAAGAAACUGACAAUGUAAAUAAACUGUGUCGGUUGCGUGAUUUAGCUGUCAGUGGUUCUAUCAUGCUAGGAUAAAUAUAACCUUGUUACGGAUGACAGAGCUGCUCUAAGUCGUGAAAUUAAACAUUAGUGCAAAGGCAGGAUGUAAGCCAGUGUGUUUCACAAUGUUACUGGUGUAGUUACAACUUAAUACCAUCCUGAAGAUAUGCACUGAUAUCUAAUUUUGUAGAUCAGCAUUCAUUCAUGCACUAUACACACACACACACACACACACACACACACACACACACACACACACACACACACACACACACACACACACACAUAAAUCAGAACCAU